AAAGUAGUAAUUUAUUUAAUAAUUGUGUCUUUUGGAAAAAUUGAAAUGUUUUAUUAACAAGUGAGUUUUACUAACUGGAAGAUGUACCAUCUCUUAACCAGUACAUUUCAACCCAGUGUUAGCUAUUUAUGAAUUACUCACUGGAGGGGACCAUAGAUGUAGAAACUUAAAGAUAAUUAUGGAUGCCUAAUUUUAUCUUAUUAAAUCAAUGAGAUUAUGUUGGAGAAGAAAAGAUGAACUGAUGCAGAAUGGAAACAGAUAUACAACUUUUAAUGUAUAAUCUAUUUCUGUUCCCACUUGCAGGAACUUACCCACUGAAAAGUCCCUCCUGAGUCAUUCGAGCAAUCACCAGCUGUGCUUAAUACAUUCUGGUGCAUCCAAUGGAAAGACAAAUUUUCUUAAGCCCCAGACAAGAAAUCCAAGGGAAGAACUUAUUUGUCAUACUUUUCAAGUGCCAUCUUUGACUCAACUUCUUUAACUGGAGGUAAGGGGUAGGGGAGGUUUGUAAGAAUAUACUAACGCCCUCGAGGG
rnacentral:lncRNA from 10 species